rnacentral:rRNA from 1 species
AACGAACGCUGGCGGCGUGCCUAACACAUGCAAGUCGAACGAGAAACCGGUCGCAAGACUGGGAGUAAAGUGGCGCACGGGUGAGUAACGCGUGAGUAACCUACCCCGCUGCCUGGGAUAACGCCGGGAAACUGGCGCUAAUACCGGAUGCACGUCCGAUGCCGCAAGGCGCUCGGCCCAAAGAGGGCCUCUGUUUACAAGCUCUCGCUGUUGGAUGGGCGCGCGUCCCAUUAGCUCGUUGGCAGGGUAACGGCCUACCAAGGCGACGAUGGGUAGCCGGCCUGAGAGGGUGACCGGCCACACUGGAACUGAAACACGGUCCAGACUCCUACGGGAGGCAGCAGUGAGGAAUCUUGCGCAAUGGGCGAAAGCCUGACGCAGCGACGCCGCGUGGGCGAUGAAGCUUCUUGGAGUGUAAAGCCCUGUCAGGUGGGACGAAUCCGGCGGGGGCAAAUAGUCCCUGCCGCUGACGGUACCACCGGAGGAAGCCCCGGCUAACUCCGUGCCAGCCGCCGCCGUAAAAC